rnacentral:rRNA from 1 species
CCUACGGGAGGCAGCAGUGGGGAAUAUUGGGCAAUGGAGGCAACUCUUACCCAGCAAUGCCGCGUGAAUGAAGAAGGUUUUCGGAUUGUAAAGCUCUUUAAUUGGGGACGAAAGAAAUGACGGUACCCAACGAAUAAGCCCCGGCUAACUACGUGCCAGCAGCCGCGGUAAUACGUAGGGGGCAAGCGUUAUUCGGAUUGACUGGGCGUAAAGGGUGCGUAGGCGGGGUAGCAAGUUAGAAGUGAAAUACCUAGAGCUUAACUCAGGUGCUGCUUUUAAAACUGCUAUGCUGGAGUGCAGGAGAGGAAAGUGGAAUUCCUAGUGUAGCGGUGAAAUGCGUAGAUAUUAGGAGGAACACCAGUGGCGAAGGCGACUUUCUGGACUGUAACUGACGCUGAGGCACGAAAGUGUGGGGAGCAAACAGGAUUAGAUACCCCAGUAGUC